rfam:Salmo salar isolate Sally breed double haploid chromosome ssa21, whole genome shotgun sequence.
CAGUCACCAAUUUGUAAGUGGCUUUGGAUAAGAGCGUCUGCUAAAUGACGUAAA